UCUUCCGAUCUGUAACGGGUGAAGAACCCUAGCUGAGCUCUUCAAUUUCUCUGCAUUGAAGGCGAUUUUAGGGGCGGGGGCUUCUCAUAUUCAUGUCACCGACUUUGUUACUAAUUCAUACUCCUAAGUUUUGCAAUUAAACCCUUCAAAAAAAAAAUGCAGCUUCCAAUUGUUUUUUCCCAACAAAUGGUCUGAUCCAGUUCGAAUGGAGCAUCAAUUCAGUCUUCAACAUAUUCGUAAAUCCACAUCAAAAUGGCAUCGCAGGUAAAACGCAACCCACCAAAGGAUUUCCGGAUUGCGUGAUAGUUAGUUAUACUCUUACCUUCAUUCCAUCUGCACUAAUUCGGGCCGCGACAUUGGCGCCAGAGGUAGUUCUGCCCCUUACCAUCUACACCACCAUGUAUAUUUCAUUCACUUGCUAACUUUGGAAGUAUUAUCCACUGACGUACUUGGUGGGAAAGGAAUAUGGAAGUAUUACCCAAUGACGUGCUUGGUAGGAAGGGAAUAAUUAAGUCGCAAUUUAUUGUUGUGUGUCUAAUCUUUAUAGUUCUGCAUCUAAUCUUUGUACCUUUAUCAGUUUUUUUUUUUUGUAGCUGUGAUUUGUUUUCUUUUCCGUGGUAUUUUAAGGUUCCUACUUCUAAAUGCUCAUUAUUAUUGUUUUCAAAGUACUAAGUCUCAUUAUCGUAAUAUUACGUGACACCGUCUCUUUUCCUGUUCCCAUUCAAGUAAUGUGGUAUGCAGUUCUAUUCGUAUUGUUCUUCCUUUCUCAUAUAUUAGUUCGUUAGAGACUUAGAGUGGUAUAUGUUGUCUGGGACAUUCCUACGCUUCUCCUACAAUACAGUUACAUUUAAGCCAAGCAUAUUGCACUUUAUGUAGACCCAGAAAUUCCCUUCCUUUGAAGUCAUUUCGAGUUCGCAAAGCUUAUUUCACUAACGAGGUUUGAAUUCUAUUCUAGAAUUUGGUUGAUUAAUGUAUGGUAUUGUUUUUAUGGAAAUUGCUUUGAGACGUUUGAAACACAAUAUGUGCAACCAACUGAUGGUUUAACAUGUUAUCAAAGAAGAAUCGGCGAAUGGUGGAUGUGCGUAAAUUUUGAGUACCCAUCAAUGUGCUGGGAAUUUUUUUAAGAAGCCUGGGCACCCAGUAUCCAGUGUUGACAAUGUUCAUAAAAAGAAAUACGGAAAGACCAUAAGUUUCUAUGUCUGCAGAGCAAGACCGAUAAAUGGCUAAAGUUUGAUUAUUUGGCAUUUUUGAUAAUUUAAAGGUAGCAACGUAGACGUAUGGCCUAUCCACCCAAGGUAGUAUUUUAUUUUAUUUUUAACUUUGUUUGGUGAUACCUGAUAAAAUUAAUUUGAUUCUGUCUUCACCUAUAUUUUUAAUCUCUUUGUAUUGGACGUGGUGCUCAUCCUAUUUUUGAACUCUUUGUACCUGAUCAAAUAAUUAGGCUGAUGAAGUAUAUAUGUAGGAGUGCCAGUUAUGUUAGCCAUGUCACCAUCGAAAUAAUGGCAAGGUGAAGCAAAAUAAAAAGAAGAUAAAAGCCCAAAAGAGUGCUGAGCAUGAAAAUGAUGAAGAAGAAAAGAACUGAAAAAAAUGUGGCAACCAAGACAAGGAGAAAGCAAAUAAGUAACCUUGCUGAUAUUGUGCUCGGAUUGGAUUCCCUUGAACAGUUGAACCAUAUUUGGUUAGUUAUGGAUCCACCUCCAGCCUUUCAGGUUGCUGAUCUAGCUGAAGCUUCGAAGAACUUUAGGACAAUUGCCUGUAAUAUUCAAGAAACCUUAUGAGAAUCAAGCGAGCAAUCAAUACAACUCAGUUUUUUUAAGCUGAUUUUAGCUACAGAAAAUGGGGAUUUGCCCUUGAAAGAUCAAGAAUAUAAGGCUCAUGAUGCGACUUCUGCUUCUACUGUGAAUAAUAUCUCAAACAUACAUUGUAGCUUUCAAAUUUUCUUUAGUUCACUUAAUUUAGUUCAUGUAAAGGGGAUAUGCAAACGAUGCAAUAUAUCUGUUUUCUUAUAUAUUUCGUGCGAAGGCCUCGGCAAGAAGUUUUGUUGACAUAUCAACUAUUGUCGUUCAGUAUAUUGACAAGCGUAUCUUUUCAAGGUAAAUUUGGUGAGAAUGCGGAAA